rnacentral:lncRNA from 1 species
AUGGGGAACUCUAAGAUCAAGCCAUCAACCAAUUUGGUGCCUGGCUCAUUCCCUGCUUCCAAGAUGGUGCCUGGUGGCCCGCACAGUGGAAAGGCCAACAGGGCCAGUUUGCAGGAGUUUCAUGACGGUGGAAUUACAGAGCACCUGCUGUGUGUCUUCGCCAUCAAUGCCUCCCUCCUACGCAGACUCAGCCUGCAAGCGGACCUACCUAACUGUCCUCACCACGCGAAAAUGAUGGUGCUGUCAUGUUCUACAUAUCUGAGAGGCAAAAGAAAGAGCUCCUUUUCAUUAAAAAAAUUAUGAUUCAAAGGUUCUGUCCUUCCCACACUGUCCAUUGAAGACCUUAGGCUCAGUUUAAAUAUCAUGCCCCACUUAUCCCACAUGUUCUCAAGUUUUCUUUCCUUCAAUAUUUUUGUUAUCCUAAUUAUCCCUCUCAUCAUUAUCAUUCAGCUUCACUGAUGAAAAAUAGACUUUAGAAAGUCUGGCAAAAUGGAAAGAGAAUGAGCUUGGACAGAAAUGUAGCAAAUUACAGUUUCAAAAUAAACUUUUUUUAUCUAGGCAAAGAAGUCAGUCUCUAAUGAUAAGAGGGGUAAAUCAAUUUUAUUAAUCUUCUUAGACAUGUAACCCAACCUUUUAACCUUGUGGAUUUCCUCUAGAAUUGUCUCUUCUCCCUUGCCAUUCCUGCUCUCCGUUUUAGUGUUUCCUUCUUUCUAUUCUUGCUGAGUUUAAUGUGUGGGUUCUUCUUAGUUUCAUGAGUUCCAAGGUUUUAGGAUGCAGUGAGAUAGUGGGGAACUUUGAAAAUCUUUGUGGUCUCCAAAAUAGCAGAAUUCCCUGCUCACAACAAG